UACAGGGGGUGCAAACGUUGCUCGGAAUCAUUGGGCGUAAAGCGCGUGUAGGCGGCCAGGUAAGUCCGUUCUGAAAGCCCGGGGCUCAACCCCGGGAGGCGGAUGGAUACUGCUUGGCUCGAGUCCGGAAGAGGCGAGUGGAAUUCCCGGUGUAGCGGUGAAAUGCGCAGAUAUCGGGAGGAACACCAAUGGCGAAGGCAGCUCGCUGGGACGGUACUGACGCUGAGACGCGAAAGCGUGGGGAGCAAACAGG
rnacentral:rRNA from 1 species